rnacentral:rRNA from 1 species
UACGUAGGGGGCAAGCGUUGUCCGGAUUUAUUGGGCGUAAAGAGCGUGUAGGCGGCUGGGUAGGUCCGUUGUGAAAACUCGAGGCUCAACCUCGAGACGCCGAUGGAAACCCUCCAGCUAGAGUCCGGAAGAGGAGAGUGGAAUUCCUGGUGUAGCGGUGAAAUGCGCAGAUAUCAGGAGGAACACCGGUGGCGAAGGCGGGUCUCUGGGCCGAUACUGACACUGAGGUGCGAAAGCGUGGGGAGCAAACAGG